rnacentral:ncRNA from 1 species
ACGAAAACUUGGAUGGGAAGAAGUACGAAACGGGAAACUCACAGAGAGAGCCGAUUUUUGCUGAGAGCGGUUUAGUUGGAACGUUUUGGAAAUGCCUCCCGGAGUUCUCAUGGGAAAUCAUUCGCGAGUAUCAUGAGACGGCGCAGGUCGUUAAAACUAGUAUGAGGUGGGACUUUUUCUAGGAAAGUUCAAUCAGAGUGGAACCGCGCAAGGCGUCUCUGUG